AUGGCCUGUCCAUGCCUGAUCUCAGACGAGGAGCAGGUGGUGAAGCCCGUGGUGAGCGUGUACCCGGCAGCAUCCAGAGGCCGGCUGGAGGAGAAGAGCUCCCUGCUGUGUUUGGCCUCAGCCAUGUUUCCUCCUGUGGUCAGAAUCUCCUGGAGACGACAAACGGAGAGCGGAUGUUUAGAGGAGCUGCCCUCUGCUGACGGACAGCAGCUGGAGCUCAGAGAGUCUGGAUGUACUGCCUCCGUCUUACAGAUCUAUCAGACAAAGUUCAGCUAUGAAUACAGCUGCUACGUGCAGCACGAGGGGGGAACAGUGGAGGCUCUGAUAGAUACAGCGGAUCCCUCUGUCCCGUCUCCAUACAAGGUGAAGCUGCUCUUGCUGCUCUACACAGUGCUGACAGUGAAGAGUCUGGUGUACUGCUGUGGACUCUUCCUGCUGACCGUCCUCAAACAUCUCAUAAAUGUUCACUGUUGA